GCCAACAGAAGAGGAGAGCAUUUGCUGUGUGGACUGGGACUUGUUGAUGCCACCACUGGAGGAUCUAAAUAUCUCCACUGAUGAGACCGAGAGCACUAGCCAAAGACUUUGUGUCACCCAAAACACGGAUUAUCCACCAUUACUGACCCGUGGCGUUCUGGAGAUGUUUUUCCAUGUGCCCAAAAUCAAUUGGAAAAAGAGGCCAAGACCCGCAGGACCAAACAACACGCUCUCUGCAGAUCAGUACAGGUUGGUGGCCUACCGUGUGGUACUCGAGUGGAUUCUGAAAGGCGAGAGACUUGGCAAGGACAGCAGAAGAGUUUUACCUGCCUGUAUUGUUACAAGCAUCCGUUCCAGCUACCCUUCACCAGAUGGAGUGUAUACUGGUUUCAAGGAGGCAGAGGCAGCUUUUGAACAGUUGUAAAGACUAUAAACAAAUCCUAAGAGACUCUUCCAUAUUAAUUUGUACUACUUCAUUGUAUUUCAUAUUUUUUCCCAAAUCACAAACCUAUACUGCCUCAUUAUAGAUAUCAUUUCAGAAUUUAUGUAGCCGAUAACUGUAACCUUUCCUGUACUAUUGUGUUGUUUUGGAAAUAAACAAAAUGACUUUGGAUGGUAA